rnacentral:rRNA from 1 species
UACGAAGGGGGCUAGCGUUGUUCGGAAUUACUGGGCGUAAAGCGCGCGCAGGCUGUUCUCCAAGUCAGUGGUGAAAGCCCGGAGCUCAACUCCGGAACUACCAUUGAAACUGUUGAACUUGAGGACGAGAGAGGUGAGUGGAAUUCCCAGUGUAGAGGUGAAAUUCGUAGAUAUUGGGAAGAACACCAGUGGCGAAGGCGGCUCACUGGCUCGUAUCUGACGCUCAGGCGCGAUAGCGUGGGGAUCAAACAGGAUUAGAUACCCUGGUAGUCCACGCCGUAAACGAUGAAUGCUAGCCGUUGGGUAGCUUGCUAUUCAGUGGCGCAGCUAACGCAUUAAGCAUUCCGCCUGGGGAGUACGGCCGCAAGGUUGAA